rnacentral:rRNA from 1 species
GGAGUUAGCCGGUGCUUCUUCUGUGAGUGAUGUCCUUCCUGCCGGUUAUUGACCCGCAGGCCUUCUUCCUCACUGAAAGUGCUUUACAACCCGAAGGCCUUCUUCACACACGCGGCAUGGCUGGAUCAGGGUUGCCCCCAUUGUCCAAUAUUCCCCACUGCUGCCUCCCGUAGGAGUCUGGGCCGUGUCUCAGUCCCAGUGUGGCUGAUCAUCCUCUCAGACCAGCUACGGAUCGUCGCCUUGGUGAGCCGUUACCUCACCAACCAGCUAAUCCGACAUAGGCUCAUCCGAUAGCGCGAGGCCCGAAGGUCCCCCGCUUUCCCCCGUAGGGCGUAUGCGGUAUUAGCCUGGGUUUCCCCAGGUUAUCCCCCACUACCGGGCAGAUUCCUAUGCAUUACUCACCCGUCCGCCGCUCGCCACCAGGGAGCAAGCUCCCCGUGCUGCCGCUCGACUUGCNUGUGUAGCUCGCCGCCGCGCGUCAUCUGAGCANAAUACAACUACUCGA